rnacentral:rRNA from 1 species
AGACCCGAAACCCGGUGAUCUAGCCAUGGGCAGGUUGAAGGUUGGGUAACACUAACUGGAGGACCGAACCGACUAAUGUUGAAAAAUUAGCGGAUGACCUGUGGCUGGGGGUGAAAGGCCAAUCAAACCGGGAGAUAGCUGGUUCUCCCCGAAAGCUAUUUAGGUAGCGCCUCGUGAAUUCAUCUCCGGGGGUAGAGCACUGUUUCGGCUAGGGGGCCAUCCCGGCUUACCAACCCGAUGCAAACUGCGAAUACCGGAGAAUGUUAUCACGGGAGACACACGGCGGGUGCUAACGUCCGUCGUGAAGAGGGAAACAACCCAGACCGCCAGCUAAGGUCCCAAAGUCAUGGUUAAGUGGGAAACGAUGUGGGAAGGCCCAGACAGCCAGGAUGUUGGCUUAGAAGCAGCCAUCAUUUAAAGAAAGCGUAAUAGCUCACUGGUCGAGUCGGCCUGCGCGGAAGAUGUAACGGGGCUAAACCAUGCACCGAAGCUGCGGCAGCGACACUCAGGUGUUGUUGGGUAGGGGAGCGUUCUGUAAGCCUGCGAAGGUGGCCUGUGAGGGUUGCUGGAGGUAUCAGAAGUGCGAAUGCUGACAUAAGUAACGAUAAAGCGGGUGAAAAGCCCGCUCGCCGGAAGACCAAGGGUUCCUGUCCAACGUUAAUCGGGGCAGGGUGAGUCGACCCCUAAGGCGAGGCCGAAAGGCGUAGUCGAUGGGAAACGGGUUAAUAUUCCCGUACUUGGUGUUACUGCGAAGGGGGGACGGAGAAGGCUAUGUUGGCCGGGCGACGGUUGUCCCGGUUUAAGCGUGUAGGUGUGUGUUCCAGGUAAAUCCGGUUCACUUUAACACUGAGGCGUGAUGACGAGGCACUACGGUGCUGAAGCAACAAAUGCCCUGCUUCCAGGAAAAGCCUCUAAGCAUCAGGUAACAUCAAAUCGUACCCCAAACCGACACAGGUGGUCAGGUAGAGAAUACCAAGGCGCUUGAGAGAACUCGGGUGAAGGAACUAGGCAAAAUGGUGCCGUAACUUCGGGAGAAGGCACGCUGACAUGUAGGUGAAGUGAUUUACUCAUGGAGCU